AUUGAACGCUGGCGGCAGGCCUAACACAUGCAAGUCGAGCGGAUGAAGGGAGCUUGCUCCUGGAUUCAGCGGCGGACGGGUGAGUAAUGCCUAGGAAUCUGCCUGGUAGUGGGGGAUAACGUCCGGAAACGGGCGCUAAUACCGCACACGUCCUGAGGGAGAAAGUGGGGGAUCUUCGGACCUCACGCUAUCAGAUGAGCCUAGGUCGGAUUAGCUAGUUGGUGGGGUAAAGGCCUACCAAGGCGACGAUCCGUAACUGGUCUGAGAGGAUGAUCAGUCACACUGGAACUGAGACACGGUCCAGACUCCUACGGGAGGCAGCAGUGGGGAAUAUUGGACAAUGGGCGAAAGCCUGAUCCAGCCAUGCCGCGUGUGUGGAGAAGGUCUUCGGAUUGUAAAGCACUUUAAGUUGGGAGGAAGGGCAGUAAGUUAAUACCUUGCUGUUUUGACGUUACCAACAGAAUAAGCACCGGCUAACUUCGUG
rnacentral:rRNA from 1 species